GGCAAGAUGACCGAGUGGUUAAGGUGCGCGACUCAAGCAACCGCUUGCUCUGGACAACCAGUGUGCCUUCGCGUGUCGAAAGACGCGGGGGUUCGAAUCCCCCUCUUGUCA